rnacentral:rRNA from 1 species
UACGAAGGGGGCUAGCGUUGCUCGGAAUUACUGGGCGUAAAGGGCGCGUAGGCGGACAGUUUAGUCAGAGGUGAAAGCCCAGGGCUCAACCUUGGAAUUGCCUUUGAUACUGGCUGUCUUGAGUACGGGAGAGGUGAGUGGAACUCCGAGUGUAGAGGUGAAAUUCGUAGAUAUUCGGAAGAACACCAGUGGCGAAGGCGACUCACUGGACACGUAUUGACGCUGAGGUGCGAAAGCGUGGGGAGCAAACAGG